GGGUAGGUAGCGAAGUGGCUAAACGCUUCUGACUGUAGAUCAGACACCUUAUGGUUUCGGGGGUUCGAAUCCCUCCCUGCCCACCA
rnacentral:tRNA from 2 species